rnacentral:rRNA from 1 species
UCGAAUGAGAGCACAACAGUGGACACAACAGCACCCCGCUAAUAAGACAGGUCAAGGUAUAGCCUAUGGGACGGAAGAAAUGGGCUACAUUCCCUAUCCAUAGGGCAACACGGAAAGAAGCAUGAAACUGCUUCUAG